rnacentral:tRNA from 1 species
GGAGGGGUGGGUGAGUGGUUUAAGCCACCGGACUGUAAAUCCGGCGCUCGGAAGAGCUUCGUAGGUUCGAAUCCUACCCCCUCCA